rnacentral:misc_RNA from 1 species
GUAGGUGAACCUGCGGAAGGAUCAUUAUUGGGGGGAGGGGGUGAGGGGGGAUGGUAGAACACCUUUGGGUUAGAGGCCACGCCCUGCGCCACCGACGACCAUGUGAUGUGUGUGUGUGUGUGAUGUGCACUGUUUCGAUGGUGCACCCACCCAUUUCAACCGUAUAUUUCCAUCUAAUAUCCGCUCUUUGGAGCACAACACGUAAAACUGCCAGCAAUGGAUCACUCGGUUCUC